rnacentral:rRNA from 1 species
CCCUUAGAUGUUCUGGGCCGCACGCGCGCUACACUGAUGCACUCAACGAGUCUCCACCUUGACCGAAAGGUCCGGGAAACCUUCGAACUUGCAUCGUGAUGGGGAUAGAUUAUUGCAAUUAUUAAUCUUCAACGAGGAAUGCCUAGUAAGCGCAAGUCAUCAGCUUGCGUUGAUUACGUCCCUGCCCUUUGUACACACCGCCCGUCGCUCCUACCGAUUGAAUGGUCCGGUGAAGCGCUCGGACCGCGGCCUCUUGACGGUUUUCCGUCGAUUGGCUGUGGGAAGUUCGUUAAACCUUAUCAUUUAGAGGAAGGAGAAGUCGUAACA